GAUGAACGCUGGCGGCGUGCUUAACACAUGCAAGUCGAACGAUGAAGCUGGAGCUUGCUCUGGUGGAUUAGUGGCGAACGGGUGAGUAACACGUGAGCAACCUGCCCCUGACUCUGGGAUAACAGCCGGAAACGGCUGCUAAUACCGGAUAUGCACCAUGAACGCAUGUUCUGUGGUGGGAAAGAUUUUUCGGUUGGGGAUGGGCUCGCGGCCUAUCAGCUUGUUGGUGAGGUAAUGGCUCACCAAGGCGUCGACGGGUAGCCGGCCUGAGAGGGUGACCGGCCACACUGGGACUGAGACACGGCCCAGACUCCUACGGGAGGCAGCAGUGGGGAAUAUUGCACAAUGGGCGAAAGCCUGAUGCAGCAACGCCGCGUGAGGGAUGACGGCCUUCGGGUUGUAAACCUCUUUUAGCAGGGAAGAAGCGAGAGUGACGGUACCUGCAGAAAAAGCGCCGGCUAACUACGUG
rnacentral:rRNA from 1 species